AAUAUUAUACCAAAACUAUGAUUAAGAACCAUUCUUUAAAAACAACAAUAUUUACCAUAAUCCCACGUACAUAAACAUUCACACCCUUUCCAGAUCUUCCACGCCAACUUCAUCUCCACAGCUUCGAGCUCUUGACGAUCUCUCCCUAGUAACCAUCCAUCGAAAAGAGCCAAAUAGAGAUCCUGAUCCACCGGCCAAGGGUGGAGCUGAGGGUUGGACCUGGGCCUGAAACUCACUACUACCCAACUCUCUUCCCACUGGCUGGACCCUUGGCUCAGCCACAGUGCGACAUAUUGGACAAGUAGUGUUUGAUCCGAGCCACAUAUCAAUGCACUCUACAUGAAACAUGUGCUUACAGUUUGGUAAAAUCCUAACCAUGGCAUCUUCCACUAUGGUUCCCAAGCAAACUGAGCACUCUAUGGGUUCACCGUGGUUAAGCUCUUGCUGGUUGGUCGGCUUAUAUGCAACCGUCGGAAACGAGGCUAUGAUCAAAGGGUCAAGCCCUACCUUAGGUGGUUCGACGGUAACAUUAGACUCCAUAUCUGGUCCAAUUCGCCUGUUUUGGCGAUGAAGGGCGGAGCGUCGCCUCCUUUCUUGGCGGUUUAGGAGAUAUCUACAGUAAAGUUGGAGAAAAACUAUCAGCAACACCACCGCGAAUAAAGAAAAGAUCGCCGCGAGCAUGAUCUUCUGGCUAUCUCCAAGUUCAUCUUUAUCAUCGUCCUUGGAACCCAUGGUUAUGGUUAAUUGCUGGCUAUAGAAUUUGUUUGAU
rnacentral:misc_RNA from 1 species